AAUGAUCGGAAGUGUCCGGCGUGUAGCACGGAGAGUGACGUCACUGGGGGAGCUGUAUAUAUUUAUAUUUAUAUAUACACACCGGGGCCCCCGGCCCUCAUGAAAUGAAUCUGGUGAUGAUGUCAUUGCACAGGAUGGUGCGGUGUUGCCAUCCAUGGAGGAGUGGGAGUAUAUAGAAGGACACAAGGAUCUGUAGAAGGACGUAAUAAUGGCGAGCCAGCCGGCCCUCAGAUCACCGGAUGGAUCCAGUAAUGGGAACCCACCAGAGAGAUGUCCCCG